GCCGUGCGAUCCAUCGAGUUAACAUGAAUCAUCAGAGGAACGGGCAAAGCCCGCGUUGACCUUUUAUCUAAUAAAUGCAUCCCUUCCAGAAGUCGGGGUUUAUUGCACGUAUUAGCUCUAGAAUUACUACGGUUAUCCGAGUAGCAAAUACCAUCAAACAAACUAUAACUGAUUUAAUGAGCCAUUCGCAGUUUCACAGUCUGAAUUUGUUCAUACUUACACAUGCAUGGCUUAAUCUUUGAGACAAGCAUAUGACUACUGGCGGGAUCAACCAGGUAGCAUUCCUCCGCGACGUCGACACUGCAUGGCUCUUAACAUGCCGCGUGAGCAACGAAGAGGCCAUAACAAAGCACGAGCAUCGUCCGUGUCAAGAGACAAAAUGCAUAGGCAUCGAUAGACAAGGGCCUAAACCCUACUCUAAAAAAUAUUUUCGUCAUCUGAAAGCACGAACGAGCACCAGUGCACCGACGAGGCCACACCGAUUUAAAGGGGCACACUCGAGACACAGGGCAUGAUUGUGGUCCACCACGCACCCUAAAGGGCACGAGAUGAAGAAGGGACAGUAACACAUCCAUAAUUCUAUCUGGCUUAGGUACGCAACACAGAAUCCCGAUCGCACCCCCUAGGUUCAAUUAGAACAAGGGGAGUCAAUGAAGAGGAGUGUGGCUCGACAGUUCGGUGUGGGUAGCAUGGAGCCUGCCAAUACAUACAACCAAAACACCACUCAUAUGCCUAUUGCGUACUAGUAGUAGCACCCAUGCACACCGGCCAACAACCCUCCCAACCACUGUAUUGGGAGGGGAGCGGAAGGAACAAUGAAACGAGGGCACACCACAAAUGCUUGGCAUGAGAACUACGAGGGACAAAAUCCCAUUGGGACUUGGUCGAGCUAAGACCGAGCCUACAAACUCAACUUACGCCCCCCAGUGAGCCGUUGCCGUAAAAGGGACUUGGUACUGGGGUCACAGGCAACUUCGAAUACAGGCAAGGCCUUCGCAAGGCCAAGGUGCCGAUGGGUCGCUGACUUGGGAGGCACAAGGCGUCCCUAACAUGACAGGGGAGAAUGGGCAAGCCAAGCUCGAGCCCAUAGCAAUGCAUAAGCCACCCCAAGAGAUCUUUGCCCGAUAUAGGGAACCUGGUCUUGGAGUCGUUGGCUACAUUUCUAUGGGCACGGGCUUGACCGGCCGGAAAAUCAUCACCCCGGCCACUAGCGCCGGUGAUCGACCCACCAUUAUUGGUGAGUCAUUGCGGGACUAUCCGACCCCCGUGGGGCUGUGGACGCACCCCACAUCGGGUUCGAGGGGGCCCACAUCUGGGGGCAGCAGAUUUCUAUCCCUUAAAGAGCUAAAAAAACUUCGUCAAUCUGCUACCAGGCAACAUUCGUAUGUCUGAAACGGGGACACUUUUCUUUAGCCCAUACAUCCGAGGCACCAGGGUGCCCCUGCUGCUCGAGGCACCCGCACAUCCAACGUCCUAGGUUACCGAUGGUGUCCGCGGCUCCCGCACAUCCAAGCACCAAGGUGCCAAUGCUGCUCGAGGCUCCCGCACAUCCAAGGCACCAAGGUGCCGAUGGUGCCCGAGGCUCCCGCAUGACCAAGGUCCUAGGUUGCCGAUGGUGUCCGAGGCUCCCGCACAUCCAAGCACCAAGGUGUCGAUGGUGCUCGAGGUUCUCGCACGAUCAAGGCCUAGGUGUCGAUAGUGCCCGAGGCUCCCGUACGACAAGGGGCCUAGGUUUCCGAUAGUGCCCGAGGCUCCCGCACGACUAGGGGCCUAGGUUGCCGAUGGUGUUCGAGGCUCCCGCACAUCCAAUCACCAAGGUGCUGAUGGUGGCCGAGGCUCUCGCACGACCUAGGGCAUAGGUGUCGAUGGUCCCGAGGCUCUCGGAUGACCAAGGGCCUAGGUUACCGAUGGUGCCCGAUGCUCCCGCACGACUAGGGGCCUAGGUUGCCGAUGGUGCCAGAGGCUCCCGCACGACCAAGGGCCUAGGUGCCGAUGGUGCCCGAGGCUCCCGCACGACCAAGGGCCUAGGUUGCCGAUGGUGCCCGAGGCUCUCGCACGACCAAGGGCCUAGGUGCCAUUAGUGCCCGAGGCUCCCGCAUGACCAAGGGCCUAGGUUACCGAUAGGACCGAGGCUCUCGCACGACCAGGGGCCUAGGUUACCAAUGGUGCCCGUAGCUCCCGCACGACCAAGGGCCUAGGUUGCCGAUGGUGUCCGAGGCUCCCUCACGACCAAGGGCCUAGGUGCCAAUGGUGGCCGAGGCUCCCGCACGACCAAGGGCCUAGGUUGCUGAUGGUACCCGAGGCUCCCGCACGACCAGGGGCCUAGGUUACCGAUGGUGCCCGAGGCUCCUGUAUGACCAAGGGCCUAGGUUGCUGAUGGUGCCCAAGGCUCCUGCACAUUCAAGCACCAAGGUCCCGAUGGUGCCCGAGGCUCCCGCACGACCAAGGGCCAAGGUGCCGAUGGUGCCCGAGGCUCCCGCACGACCAAGGGCCUAGGUGC
rnacentral:lncRNA from 1 species